GACGAACGCUGGCGGCGUGCCUAAUACAUGCAAGUUGAGCGCUGAAGGUUGGUACUUGUACCAACUGGAUGAGCAGCGAACGGGUGAGUAACGCGUGGGGAAUCUGCCUUUGAGCGGGGGACAACAUUUGGAAACGAAUGCUAAUACCGCAUAAAAACUUUAAACACAAGGUUUAAGUUUGAAAGAUGCAAUUGCAUCACUCAAAGAUGAUCCCGCGUUGUAUUAGCUAGUUGGUGAGGUAAAGGCUCACCAAGGCGAUGAUACAUAGCCGACCUGAGAGGGUGAUCGGCCACAUUGGGACUGAGACACGGCCCAAACUCCUACGGGAGGCAGCAGUAGGGAAUCUUCGGCAAUAGACGAAAGUCUGACCGAGCAACGCCGCGUGAGUGAAGAAGGUUUUCGGAUCGUAAAACUCUGUUGGUAGAGAAGAACGUUGGUGAGAGUGGAAAGCUCAUCAAGUGACGGUAACUACCCAGAAAGGGACGGCUAACUACGUG
rnacentral:rRNA from 1 species